UGGAAAUUCCAUAUACUAUGUUACAUAGCUGCUACCGACAUGGCCAUAUGGAAGACAUAAGCGGUUCGACAUGCUCAUUGAUUGUUGGAAACGGACUUGCUAACAAAAAUAUAGCAGAAGCCGUGGGAGACUGGUAUUUCGAACGGAGCGAAUUCCAAGAGAUGGAUAUGGUCAACAACUUGCCACGGAACUGCACUGGCGACGACCAACCUAUUUUGGAGAAAAAGUGUAUCGAUUAUUAUAUUCAUCAUUAGAUGCCAAGAAUUGACAGCAUGUGAAUUUAAAUUUCUAUUUUCAGUUAUGAACGAAGGCUUAAAAUUUUCGGUU